AAGGAUACAAUCUUUGAUAGGGAAAAGUAAAUUUCUUCCCUUUGUUCCUGAAAUCCUAAUUGCAGGGAAGAAAUAUGCUUUAGAGACCAUAAAGGCUCCUUUUCUUUGUGCCCAGCUCAGAUUGUUAGAUGGUCAGUUUAAGAACCACAGGACAGCCACUUUUCUGGGCUUGAAACAAAAGUUAGAAUCUUUAAAGCGGACGGGUCAUCAGCCCAUUCAUAUUUUUGUAAUGACUGAUCUUCCUCGAG
rnacentral:misc_RNA from 1 species